rnacentral:lncRNA from 1 species
AAACCGGAGAGGAAACCAGCUUGGUCUUGCUCUCUGCCUCGUCCCAAUCCCCGGCUCUUACCAAAUGCAGAUCCGUUGGCUGAAUGCCUUUUAGUCUGCAUACAUGCAUCUCAUACCGCACAGCCCAAAUUUCUACAACUUGUCCAGGUGCAGUCUCCUCAGAACUACAAAGCAAGAAAAGAUCACCUUUGGGCUCAGGAACUCACAGUCGUUCUCCCUCUCCCGGAAGGCACAAUGACCAGGACAGUACCGAGCUUUACAGCCAUAUUGAACUCACCAUCAACUCAGCACAUUCAACUCAAUCAGUCAAAAUCGUCUUUUCCUGCUGGUAAAUAACACUGAAAUUGUGGGAAGAUGGGAUGGUAAGAACAAAGUCUGUCUCUGGAAGCACGGGCGCUGUCUCUGAAGACAAAUUGAUCGUAACACAAGCAGACCCGGUGGAACGACCUCCAUGCUGAACCCUCAGCUCCCCCUGCAUUUGGACCAUGGCCUGAUGGAAGGUGCGAGAAACCCUGUGACCACGUUACAGCACAGGGGCAGCUUGGCCAGGCCACCCCUUGGGCCUAAUUUUUCUCCCUGGCCAAAGGGGUCAGACUAUUCCAGUGCUGUCUGCUCCCUGGCCUCCAGAGUAAUCAAACACACAUGUUUGGCGCUCCACUAAUCAGGGAAUGAAAUAAAGCUAGAUGUUUCCAUAUGUUGAUUCAAUUUACAAGCAAAAGUAAGUGUCAGGUAGGGGGCACAACAGUAAGGGGUGAGCAGUGAAGAAAUGAUUCCACAAUGACGUUUCGUAAGGAGCAAAAAGAUGAGGAAGAAAAGGGGAGACACAUCAUUGAAGGCCAGGCUCUGUGACAA